UAGCUAAAUAUUCCUAGAUAUUUUUAUACCCUUGGUGCAUGAAACAAAAAAUCAAACAUCUGGCUACUCUAUUGGAUAAAAUGCAAACAUUUAAAUAUGGUAUUCUUUUUCGCUUUUUGCACGCCUACUUAACAGUUGAGUGCUAACAAAACACGUGGUAAGAUGCAUUUCAAAAAAAGUUUCAUAUAAUGCGUUAUUAAACAAAAAAAUCACAAAUAAUAUGUAAUAAAAAGAACAAAAACCUAUAAUGUAGUAAUAAAGUUAUUAGAAAGAAAACUAAAGGAAGUACCCUUUAUUAAGGCGAGUACCCGGUACAGUUAUGGACUUCUUUGAGGCAGUGUUAGCCAUUAGGAGUAAACGUUACUAAUUUUCCCACUUCUUUCCAAACAAAACAGUAACGUAAACAAGGAGUAAUCGUUACUAAUGAAGAGUAGUGGUAUGAAAUAUAUCGUUUUCCUGGCAAUUUCCUUCGAGUAACCGAUGACUGAAUGAAGUCUUGUUUCAACACGUAUUUUUUACAGUUUUUCGAACUUUUAGCUUAAACUUAGUUUUGAAAAUUUUAUUCAAAAUUUCGUCAUUUCAAAACGUCAUUGCAGCAGUGUCGCCAUUAGUUUUUCGCAAAAAACACACACACACAAAAACCUACUCUUUUGUCUGAGACCCCCUUAAAACACCUCCUUGCAAAUGAAACCCUCUAUAUCUCUCACAUUACAACAAAAUAAACCUCACUCUCUCUCUCUCUCUCUUAACCAACAAAAUUUAUGUUGAUAAAAAGGCAACGAAAACAACAAAAACUAUGACAACAAACCAUGCACUUUACACAAUAAAGUUUUUUUUUGUUUCAAUACGAGAGCUUGACACAGUCACACAGAUACACACUCACUCAAUUGCAGUUAAACAAAUAUAAACUAAUACAAUUAUACUCGGUUAACUCAAUAGCAUCUCGUGUAUAUAAAUUAUACAACAACACAAAAAAAUAAACGUAACGUCAGUUUUUUUUUUAACAACAACAACAAUAGUAGUGUGCAACACAGCACACACACACACAAUCAUCAGCACUAUCGCUAUUCUAAUGCAACAAAGUCAAUACAAUAUAAGUUCAACAACAUUUUCAUACAAAAUCCUUGAGAGUCAUUGAAAAAAAUGUACAAAAACGUAUAGAGAAAAACAAAAUUGUGAAAAAAAUAGAAAAAUAAAAAAAAAAGUUGUAAAUAAAAUAAAUAGAAAAAUAUAGAUUGUUGAAAAAUAAUAGAAUGAGUAAGUAGAAAAAAAGUUGAAAAAAAAAUGAAACUAAUUGUGUGUGUGAGUGUGUCCAUACGAGAAAUAUUAGAAGAAAAUAAAGUGCAAUAGACAAUUUUUCAUUUAAGACAGAAAGACAGACAGACAGAUUUUGUUUUAAUGAUGUGGUUAUUUUUUGAAGCUUUCUUCAGACAGUUUUGAAAGUAAACGUAAUUUUCUAAAGGGGACCUUAAAUGGGGGUUGUAGGGUCAAUUAUGUGUCAAUCCUUCCUAAAAUUGUAUAAAGAAAAUUUAGGUUUCUAUAAGACAGGUGUGUGACAAAUUUCAUCGCUAUAGAUUUCUUCCUUUAGACAGUUAUGAGAGUUUAAGUUAUUUUCAAAAGGGGAUCUUAUCUGGGUCGUAGGGGUAGAGUCAAUUAUGGACCUACCUCUAACAGGAAGAUUUAGGUUUCUGCAAAAUAUGUUUAUAUGGAAUUUCACUGCAAUAGAUGCCUUCCUUCAGACAGUUAUAAGCGUUGAAGUCAUUGUCUGAAGUGGACCUUAUAUGGGGGUAAGGGUCGGUUGAAUUAUGGACCGAGCUAUAAAAAGAUAUUAAAGGUUCUGUAAAAUAUGUUUUGGAUUGGAUUUUCACUGCUAUAGAUGUCUUCCUCUGACAGUUGUAAGCGAUCACUUUACAAGGAGAUUUAGGUUCCUUUAAAAUAUGUUUAUGUGGAAUGUAAUAACUAUAUAAGCUUCUUUUUGACAGUUAUGCGCGUUAAAGCCAAUUUCUGAAAGGGAUCUAAUAUGGGGGGUAGGUCAGUUAUGGACCGAUCUUUAUAAAAUUUGAAGAGGAAUUUGGGUUUACCUUUUUAGAUGCUUCUAUUUAUACAGUUCAAAUCAUUAUAUGAAGGGGGCCUUAUAUGGGUGUUAGACGAAAUCGUGGACCGAUGCAUGCAUAACUUCAGCUCCCUAGCUGCUUUCAUUUGGACUCUAUUGUGUCUUCAACAGACAGACGGAUAUGACAGGAUUUUUUUAGAAUCUAAUAAGGACCUUGAAUAUAUAUGGGUCUGGACAAUAUCAUGAACUGAUAUUGCCCAUUUUCAAAACAAACUACAUUGACAAUCAAUAAACCAUUCAUUUGGUAUCUAUCGUGCUUCAACAGACGGAAUGACGGACAUGACUAGAUCGUUCUAUGGGAACACUUAUUUUAAUUUGUAAAAAUUUAACUGGGAAAAGAUAAAAUAGCUAUUGGUCCAACCAAUCGACUCAAAAUAACUUUCUGAGUCGAUGUCCGUCUGUCUGCCCGUUCGUCUGUCUGUCUGUAUGUCCAUGUAAACCUUGUACGCACGCUGCAGGUCGCCAUUUUCAAGAUAAUUUAAUGAAAUUUGGUACAAACUCUUCACUUGUUCCAAAGGAUGAACUCUAUUGAAAUCGGUCCAUUAUUUCUUCUAGCCCCCACACAACUGUCCGUCCGUCCGUCUGUCUGUGUUUCCAUGUAAACCUUGUUCGCACGCUGCAGGUCGCAAUUUUCAAGAUAAUUUAAUGAAAUUUGGCACAUACAUUAUAUUCAAAUCGGUCCAUUAUUUCUCCUAGCCCCCACACAACCGUACCCCACAAAUAGGACCUUUGGGCUCAUAAUUACGUUAAAUGUACUGCUAUGUAAACAAAAUUCCGUAAAACUUAAUUUUAUAGAUAUUUAAAUGAUACUAUUGAUAUUUGUAUUGAUCGGGCCUUAUUUGACCCUAGCCCCCAUACAAACUCCCUCUAAGAAAAUUAAGUGAAAGUCAAAAUUCUCUUAUAAAUACUAAUAACAAGAUUAAAUUCUACUUAAAUAACUUGGAAGUAGACGAUAAUUCUUCUAUCAACAUUUAUGAGCAUAGGCCCAUACCCUUUACCCCUACUCUACUAUAAGCCCUCUUGCAGAAAAUCUCUUUUUUUUGAACUUUUAUUUCCAAAUUGUUCGCAAACUAUAAUAUUUAUCAGCAAAAUUGAAGAAUUUCUUUAUUGUAAACAGCAUAACAGCAGAACAUAGAAGAAAUAGAGAUGGAGAGAUUAAUGCAAAUAUUCUCUCAGCUGCAUAAAACUCUCUCGUUUAAUAAUAAUAACAGAGCUACCAUAGUGAAAAAAACUUUGCUGAAAAGUACCGUUAUUGCUUUUAGCAGAGGGACCGUUAGAGACGUCAAAGGGUAGUUGCAAACGAAAGAGUCAAUCACCGUUCGAAGGUCAGAGGUUUGGAGUCCUUGAGUAUAUAAAAUAACUGGAACAAAUGUUAUAUAUAUAUAUGUAUGUACAUAUGUAUGUAUAAAACAGCAAUACGCAGUACCCACAAGAAGAAAGAAAGUAGGUACAAACUGCAUAUAUAUAGUUUUCAGAAAAUUGUAGAAAAUACAACAAGAACAACAAUACAACAACAAAUAUACAUAUGUAAUGUAUGUAUAAAUUUGACGUACUUUUUGCAUUGUCUAGGUAUGUAAUCAAAAGGUUUGGUUGGUUGGUUGGUUGGGUUGGUUGGUUGGGUUGGUUGACAAAAGGUUACAAGGCAGCAAUAUAUCUAACGAAUAAAAGUUUCAAA